CACACAAGUACAGAGGAGUGAAGCAGCUCAGGGAACACAGACACAGAGACAGUACUGGGGAGACAAGUGACCGGGACUUACAGACUACAACAGUGAACAAGAGGCCCUUUCCAACAUGGAGUUCUAUGAAAGAAACUGUCGGGAAUUCAGCAUCCCCCUGUGGGUGGCACCAUUACUCCAUGCUGCUUCAAGGUGUAAAAGUGACCGAACGAGACGCAAGAAAACAUACAAACUCAUCCAGCACAAACUGUUGCACUGUAAGUUGGGCUGCAGUACUGAUGAGAAGUUUCGCCCGACCUAUGUCUACCCUCUAGCACUGAAACAGCUUGUGCGUACUGUGUUCCCCAAUGAAGUGUGCAACUACCCCGAUCCCAAUCAUGCCAAGGUGGUGAUAGUCACUUUGGAAGACCUCAAUGCAGUACGUUUGCGUGACCAUUUGGAGCCAUAACUGAGUUGACUCAUGCAUAGAUAUUAAUAACAGCUUUGUGAUUGUACGUGCUUUUAAGCAUGCUGGUUUGUCUAAAAGCAGUUCAACUGAAAAUAAGUGAUAAUAUAUUUCUUUAUUUAUAUGUUUGGAAGCUUCUGAAGCUACAGAUCACCAGAUUUACUUUGCAGUAUACGGUUCAGUCAAAAUUCAGAGAGUAAAAAUGUUUAGUUGUACGAAUGUUAUAUUUUACUGACACAUUAAAUUCCUAGUUUGA